rnacentral:rRNA from 1 species
AUUGAACGCUGGCGGCAGGCCUAACACAUGCAAGUCGAGCGGUUGACGGGAGCUUGCUCCCUGAUUCAGCGGCGGACGGGUGAGUAAUGCCUAGGAAUCUGCCUAUUAGUGGGGGACAACGUUUCGAAAGGAACGCUAAUACCGCAUACGUCCUACGGGAGAAAGCAGGGGACCUUCGGGCCUUGCGCUAAUAGAUGAGCCUAGGUCGGAUUAGAUAGUUGGUGAGGUAAUGGCUCACCAAGGCGACGAUCCGUAACUGGUCUGAGAGGAUGAUCAGUCACACUGGAACUGAGACACGGUCCAGACUCCUACGGGAGGCAGCAGUGGGGAAUAUUGGACAAUGGGCGAAAGCCUGGUCCAACCAUGCCGCGUGUGUGAAGAAGGUCUUCGGAUUGUAAAGUACUUUAAGUUGGGAGGAAGGGUUGUAGAUUAAUACUCUGCAAUUUUGACGUUACCGACAGAAUAAGCACCGGCUAACUCUGUGCCAGCCGCCGCGGUAAAAC